GUGAUCUUAGUUUACUAAAACGUCUGUUUUGCACGCAGAAAAGCCAGAGUUAUGCCUGGAUAUCACA
rnacentral:tRNA from 1 species